rnacentral:lncRNA from 1 species
GCCCGGCCAUCAUGGAUGCUUUGAAGUAUAAUAAGAGAGGGAAGGAUCAGCUUCCAAAUGCUUGAACACCUAUGUUUCCAAGCCACGUAUUGAGGAAUUCAUCUCUUGGCCUCUCCACUCCAACCUGAAUCUCUCUGAUUGCUGUAUUCAGCUGUCCCAGCUGGAGAAACCACACUGAACUCUUCAAGGGCAAAAGCCAAGGUUUGACUUUGCUCCCUCUGAUCCCUGCUAGUGUACCUAGCAGCGUGCUGAGCACAUAACAACUGCCCACAGGAUGAGAUGGUAAACUGGAGAACUUGCUUGGCAAUCACAAGAAAACAGGGCAGUGGUGGUGAGAUCUGGGAUGCGUGCUUUCAAGGUGAUGGCAUCAUGGAGGGAAACCACCUUUUUCCUGUGCUUGCUUCCUUGCAUUUGUCACCCCUUCCUUUUUCCCUCCACAUCCCCACAAGUCACACAGUGAGGAACCAGAAACACAGCAACUUUUGGCUUUUGGCACAGCGAGGCUGGGGUCCCCAGCUUCUCUCGGUCUCACUGAGUGUUGGACUUACAACAACGGUCCUGACAUCAAGAUAUUCUGCGGGAAAUCGGGUGAGAGGGUGGGAGGGGAGGGAGGAAUCACAAAUAAAGAUUUGGUUUUGUCCAUUAAGAGUUGAAAAGAAAGUUGUUCAUAGCCUCGGGCUUGCUUGUUGAUUUCAUGUGGCCAAGUGUCCCACUGGGGGAGUUUGCAGGCACAUGGACUUGAUUUUUUGCGGGGUCAUAGUUUCUUAACCUUCCUCCAGUUCAUUCCCUGCCUGCGUUCUCUUCUCUCAC